rnacentral:rRNA from 1 species
AGAGUUUGAUCCUGGCUCAGAAUCAACGCUGGCGGCGUGCCUAACACAUGCAAGUCGAGCGAGAAAGGGGACUUCGGUCCCUGAGUAAAGCGGCGGACGGGUGAGUAACACGUGGGUAAUCUGCCCUCGGGUGGGGAAUAACUCAGGGAAACCUGGGCUAAUUCCGCAUGAUAUUCUCGAUGCAUACGUAUUGAAAAUCAAAGCUGGGGACCCUUCGGGGCCUGGCGCCUGAGGAGGAGCCCGCGGCCAAUUAGCUUGAUGGUGAGGUAACGGCUCACCAUGGCUACGAUUGGUAGCCGGCCUGAGAGGGCGGACGGUCACACUGGGACUGAGACACGGCCCAGACUCCUACGGGAGGCAGCAGUGGGGAAUUUUUGUCAAUGGGGGAAACCCUGAACAAGCAACGCCGCGUGAAGGACGAAGACCUUCGGGUUGUAAACUUCUGUCGGAGGGGACGAAAGCAUUUGCGGUCAAUACCCGUGAUGUGACGGACCCUUAGAGGAACCCCGGUAACUCCGUGCAGAGCGCGUAUACGGGGGGGAACGUGUCGGAUUAUGGCGAAGGCGGAGCGACGGAAUCCUCUGAUCCAGGUCACCGGAUGGGAAAUAUCGCUGGUCGGAAGAUGGAUCCAUGACGUGAUGGAAAUGGGACCGGGCAGGAU